GGACAUGCACGGCUAUCAGCUGCAAAAGAUGCCAAAGAGCACAUACAAAAGAGGCCACCGAGCCCAACCCGUGACCCAGCAUCAAAAGGUGCACACGGACGAAAAGAUGGCCUCCGAGCCCAUCCGUGACCCAGCACCGAUAAGUGCGCACGGACCAAAAUAAUGCAGCGAAAAGAUCCCCUAUGAGGGCACAGUCGUAAAAAAAUAGCGCAAUUGCAUCCCUCGGGUUGGCGUGUGCUAGACAUUAGCAGGCUUUUUUUCUUCUUUCUUUUAUUUCAUACAUAUGCCACUAAUAAACUAUUAAUCCAUUUGUUUUCGCUACCCGUUCGACUAUCUCUUUUUCUUUUAUUUAGUUUAUACAUAUUAACACGGGACAUGCACGGCUGUCAGCUGUGAAAGAUGCCAAAGAGCACAUAUAAAAGAGGCCACCAAGCCCAACCCGUCACCCAGCAUCAAAAGGUGCACACGGACGAAAAGAUGGCCUCCGAGCCCAUCCGUGACCCAGCACCGAUAAGUGCGCACGGACUAAAAUAAUGCAGCGAAAAGAUCCCCUAUGAGGACACAGUCGUAAACAAAUAGCGCAAUUGCAUCCCUCGGGUUGGCAUGUGCUAGACAUUAGCACCUGGCUUUUUUUUCUUCUUUCUUUUUUUUCAUACAUAUGCCACUAAUAAACUACUAAUCCAUUUGUUUUCGCUACCCGUUCGACUAUCUCCUUUUCUUUUAUUUAGUUUAUACAUAUUAUGCCACUAAUAAACUAAUAAUUCAUUCAUUGUCGCUACCCGUUCGGCGACCACAAGGGUCCAUCUCGAAGGCUGAGUUGUCGACGAGGGAACAAGCAUGGCCAAAUGUGGACUCCGAGGAGAAGUGCAUGAGGACGGGCCCCAUGCAAGCUUGGAUGGGCGCUCGGUUGAGGCCCAACUGGAACUGGGCCCCGCUACCAGUCGUGGCACGUGCGAACGUCAAAUCCACCCCGCGAAUCGCUAACCAUAUUAGUAUCGUAUCGGAUGUUUAGUUGAAAUGUUACCGGUUUAUUAGCCCCAAUUCAAUAGACUACAUCGCCAACACGGGACAUGCACGACUGUCACCUGCGAAAGAUGUCAAAGAGCACAUACAAAAGAGGCCACCAAGCCCAACCCGUGACCCAGCAUCAAAAGGUGCACACGGACAAAAAGAUGGCCUACGAGCCAAUCCGUGACCCAGCACCGAUAAGUGCGCAUGGAUCAAAAUAAUGCAGCGAAAGCACAGUCGUAAACAAAUAGCGCAAUUGCAUCCCUCGGGUUGGCAUGUGCUAGACAUUAGCACCUG
rnacentral:lncRNA from 1 species